CUGGCCCCGCAGCCUUUCCCUGCGCCGGGGAGGUCAGCCGGGAUAGAUGAGCCUUAACGGGAAAAAAAUGUGGAAAGGGAUAAAAUUCACAGGCCAGCUGAGAAAGCAGCACGCAUUUACACACCCAAAUUCCUGGCAUAUCCCAGUGGGAGAGGGAUUUGACCAGGGCAAAGAUCUCAGAGGAAGUGAAGCCCAAGCUCAGCAUCCAGCCUGGACAGCUGGUUGGAAGCCACCUCCUUCUCCAGCUGCUGACCUUUCUCCAGUGCCAGCUCUGGUGAGGAAAAUUCCUGCAGCCUGACUGGGGAGUGGGUAGCUGGUAUCCCAAAUUCCCAAAGCCUGAUAGUUGUAAUCUGAAUUAUAGGUGGAUCUGGCCUUGGGUUACUCCAUCCUUCCCCGGAUCUCCAUCAGCAGCAGCCUCUGAUGAGGUUUUAUUUCCCACAGGAAUGUCCUGGUGCUCCUGCCUGAUGCCUCUGUGGGACAACGCCCAGCCUGCUGCCCAUCCUCUGGAACGUCAUUCCACAGGAUAAUGGCUCUCUGUCCAUGGCAGGAGCAUUGGAAUUAGAUGUUCUGUCAGGUGCCUUCAAACCCAAAGCAUUCCACGAUCCCUUGUGGCAAGAAAUGGAUGGAGAACAGGGCAGGGGAAGGAAAUUCGGGGUUGCCUCUUGCUCCUAGGCAGGAUCAGCCUCACCUAUGCAGAUUUAAUUCUUCUUACAAAGAGAAAUUAACCCGAUUUUAUGAGCAUGUCCAUAGUUAGAAGAGCAUAAGCUCGUGAUUUCAAGGUGACCGGCGGGUCCUGGCCAGCGCUGAUGGAAGCCAGCUGAGGGCACAGAGCGCGAACCUUUAUCUCUGCUGACAUGACAUAUUAUUAAAAAGUAUUUCGAGUAAUCUUUUAUUUCCUCAGCAUUGCAACACAUUUCAAGAACUUGGCUGGGGAUCAACCGAGCCUUUUUAAUUUCCUACACUGAAAAAUAAAACAAAAAUCAAGCCCGAUUGCGAUGAUAUAAUCAGGAACAUUUUGAGGGUUUAGGUCAAAUUAAUGUGUCAGAGAAGGGUUUUUAGGGGACUUGGGGAGCUUUAAUCUGUCAAAGGCUGAC
rnacentral:lncRNA from 12 species